CCCGCCAUCGGGAUGAACUAAGCCAUGCGAGUCUUUGUAGUAUACAAGGCAGACGGCUCAGUAACACGUAGUCAAUCUAACCUAUGGAUGGGGAUAACCUCAGGAAACUGAGAAUAAUACCCAAUAGAUCAUUAUGCCUGGAAUGGUUUAUGAUUCAAAUGAUUUUUCGCCAUAGGAUGGGACUGCGAUCUAUCAGCUUGUUGGUGAGGUAAUGGCCCACCAAGGCUAUAACAGAUACGGGCUCUGAGAGGAGAAGCCCGGAGAUGGGUACUGAGACACGGACCCAGGCCCUAUGGGGCGCAGCAGGCGAGAAAACUUUGCAAUGUGCGAAAGCACGACAAGGUUAAUCCGAGUGUUUUCUGCUAAAGAAAUCUUUUGUCAGUCCUAAAAACACUGAUGAAUAAGGGGUGGGCAAGUUCUGGUGUCAGCCGCCGCGGUAAAACCAGCACCUCAAGUGGUCAGGAGGAUUAUUGGGCCUAAAGCAUCCGUAGCCGGCUGUGUAAGUUUUCGGUUAAAUCUAUAUGCUCAACAUAUAGGCUGCCGAGAAUACUGUACAGCUAGGGAGUGGGAGAGGUAGACGGUACUCGGUAGGAAGGGGUAAAAUCCUUUGAUCUAUUGAUGACCACCUGUGGCGAAGGCGGUCUACUAGAACACGUCCGACGGUGAGGGAUGAAAGCUGGGGGAGCAAACCGGAUUAGAUACCCGGGUAGUCCCAGCUGUAAACUAUGCAAACUCAGUGAUGCACUGGCUUGUGGCCAGUGCAGUGCCGCACGGAAGCCGUUAAGUUUGCCGCCUGGGGAGUACGUACGCAAGUAUGAAACUCAAAUGAAUUGACGGAA
rnacentral:rRNA from 1 species